rnacentral:tRNA from 1 species
GCCUCUGUAGCUCAGUUGGUUAGAGCGCUGCACCGGAAUCGCAGGGCCGUAGGUUCAAUUCCUAGCAGAGGAC